AGAUGGCGACCGGCGCACGGUGAGUAACACGUAUCCAACCUGCCGAUAACUCGGGGAUAGCCUUUCGAAAGAAAGAUUAAUACCCGAUGGUAUAAUCAGACCGCAUGGUCUUGUUAUUAAAGAAUUUCGGUUAUCGAUGGGGAGUGCGUUCCAUUAGGCAGUUGGUGAGGUAACGGCUCACCAAACCUUCGAUGGAUAGGGGUUCUGAGAGGAAGGUCCCCCACAUUGGAACUGAGACACGGUCCAA
rnacentral:rRNA from 1 species